GUUUUUUUUGAGUUGCACUAUCUCCUCCCCUGUUUCCCGACGUCAUAUGAUCCAAUAGUGAUUUGGUUGUAAUAAAAUUACAUGCAUGGACUGGAGAAGAAACCAAAAAUAUCUAUUUCUGUGAGCUGCAAUGCUAAGUGGAUGCAAUGGAAGCCAGGGCUUGCCGAUGAACAAGACAAGCUGCAGUGAUUUGUUUUUCUAUGUAGGGAUGAGGUUUAUGCAUUGUAAGUGAAACAUUGCUGUUUAUUCCCUGGGAUUUUGCACUCCUGCAUAUAACUGUCUAUCCCUGCCUGCUUGGAGAAAGUCCGCCAUAUUCUGCCUUACCACGCCCGGGGAGCAGAGCCAUUGAAGAAAAAAAAAAAAAAAGGCUGGCAGUGGAAAUGAUUGCAGGCAGGCAUAUCCUGUGACACCAAGAAGACCAUAAGGAUCCUUGGAUGCAUAAGGACAAGGCAUUGAAACAACAAAAAGGAGAUCUUUUAAAGGAGAAAAAUAAAAGAAGGAUCUGAAGGGUGGCAAAUUUGAGGAUCUCUACUGAGGGGGAAAAAAAAAAAAAUCAGAAGGAAAAAAAAAAAUGUGUGAGAAGGGGGGAGGGGUACAAGCUGAUUAGCCUGUUAGCAUUACACUAGGGUCUGGAUUUGCCUGCAGGAGAGCUUGCACUCAUUGCAAAGGGACCUUUCUUUGGGGGGGGUGGGGGAAGUGUGCAUUUGCAAAGAGAAAGAAAAGACAUAAAGAAGGGCCGUGGCCGUGGCAGUGUAGGAUUGAGCAGUAAAUCUGCAGUGUGAGAGCCAGGCUUGCCGCCUGCCCCUGGCUGUGUGUUUGCCGUGCUUCCCAUGGAUGUCACCAGGUUAUUUGGUGCAUGGUUCUGAGAGAAGGCGGAGUUGGAGCAGCCGAGUGACAGCACAGAUCGGGUGUUCGGUGUCCCCUGUACUCGGGCUACGGCAGCACCCACCCACCGCAGGGUGCCUUCACAUCAGCUGCUCGGCGGGGGCACCUGCAUCCCUCUCCCCCCUGCCCAGUGGAGCUCAUCGGCUGCCAUUCCCUGCCGGACAUUGCCCUGUGCGCCGCCCGAGCCGCCCGUGUUGUUAUUGCGUGGCCUUUGCUGCGAGCAGUCCGUGCUAGCGGUAUCAGCAGGUCGGUCGGUGGCUGCCAGCAGGGUGGGGGUCUCUCUCUCUCCACCAGUCGGCAGACAUGACUCUGGAGUCCAUCAUGGCGUGCUGCCUCAGCGAGGAGGCCAAGGAAGCCAGGAGGAUCAACGACGAGAUCGAGAGGCAGCUCCGCCGGGAUAAGAGGGACGCCCGCCGGGAGCUCAAGCUGCUGCUGCUCGGUGAGUGUCCGGGUGUCCCGGGGGGUGUCCGGGCUCAGCCUGGGCCUCUGCAUGGCACAUGUGUGUUAUACGGUCUCCCCCACUCCCUCCCUCUCUCUCUCUCCCUAUUCCUAUCUCUC